GACGUAGGGCGCGAGCGUUGUCCGGAUUAUUGGGCGUAAAGAGCUCGUAGGCGGCUUGUCGCGUCGUCCGUGAAACCUGGGGCUCAACCCAGGCUUGCGGUCGAUACGGGCAGGCUCGAGUUCGGUAGGGGAGACUGGAAUUCCUGGUGUAGCGGUGGAAUGCGCAGAGUAUCAGGAAGAACACCCGUGGCGAAGGCGGCUCUCUGGAACGCAACUGACGGCUGAGACGCGAAAGCGUGGGGAGCAAACAGG
rnacentral:rRNA from 1 species